UGCCUGGCGGCAGUAGCGCGGUGGUCCCACCUGACCCCAUGCCGAACUCAGAAGUGAAACGCCGUAGCGCCGAUGGUAGUGUGGGGUCUCCCCAUGCGAGAGUAGGGAACUGCCAGGCAUCAAAUAAAACGAAAGGCUCAGUCGAAAGACUGGGCCUUUCGUUUUAUCUGUUGUUUGUCGGUGAACGCUCUCCUGAGUAGGACAAAUCCGCCGGGAGCGGAUUUGAACGUUGCGAAGCAACGGCCCGGAGGGUGGCGGGCAGGACGCCCGCCAUAAACUGCCAGGCAUCAAAUUAAGCAGAAGGCCAUCCUGACGGAUGGCCUUUUUGCGUUUCUACAAACUCUUCCUGUCGUCAUAUCUACAAGCCAUCCCCCCACAGAUACGGUAAACUAGCCUCGUUUUUGCAUCAGGAAAGCAGCUGUUUUGGCGGAUGAGAGAAGAUUUUCAGCCUGAUACAGAUUAAAUCAGAACGCAGAAGCGGUCUGAUAAAACAGAAUUUG
rnacentral:rRNA from 1 species